AUUGAACGCUGGCGGCAGGCCUAACACAUGCAAGUCGAACGGUAACAGGAAACAGCUUGCUGUUUCGCUGACGAGUGGCGGACGGGUGAGUAAUGUCUGGGAAACUGCCUGAUGGAGGGGGAUAACUACUGGAAACGGUAGCUAAUACCGCAUAACGUCGCAAGACCAAAGAGGGGGACCUUCGGGCCUCUUGCCAUCGGAUGUGCCCAGAUGGGAUUAGCUAGUAGGUGGGGUAACGGCUCACCUAGGCGACGAUCCCUAGCUGGUCUGAGAGGAUGACCAGCCACACUGGAACUGAGCCACGGUCCAGACUCCUACGGGAGGCAGCAGUGGGGAAUAUUGCACAAUGGGCGCAAGCCUGAUGCAGCCAUGCCGCGUGUAUGAAGAAGGCCUUCGGGUUGUAAAGUACUUUCAGCGGGGAGGAAGGGAGUAAAGUUAAUACCUUUACUCAUUGACGUUACCCGCAGAAGAAGCACCGGCUAACUCCGUG
rnacentral:rRNA from 1 species